rnacentral:rRNA from 1 species
GAUGAACGCUGGCGGCGUGCCUAAUACAUGCAAGUCGAGCGAACAGACGAGGAGCUUGCUCCUCUGACGUUAGCGGCGGACGGGUGAGUAACACGUGGAUAACCUACCUAUAAGACUGGGAUAACUUCGGGAAACCGGAGCUAAUACCGGAUAAUAUAUUGAACCGCAUGGUUCAAUAGUGAAAGACGGUUUUGCUGUCACUUAUAGAUGGAUCCGCGCGGCAUUAGCUAGUUGGUAAGGUAACGGCUUACCAAGGCAACGAUGCGUAGCCGACCUGAGAGGCUGAUAGGCCACACUAGAACUGGGACACGGUCCAGGCUCCUACGGGAGGCAGCAGUAGGGAAUCUUACGCAAUGGGCGAAAGCCUGACGGAGCAACGCCGCGUGAGUGAUGAAGGUCUUCGGAUCGUAAAACUCUGUUAUUAGGGAAGAACAAAUGUGUAAGUAACUAUGCACGUCUUGACGGUACCUAAUCAGAAAGCCACGGCUAACUACGUG